CCUACGGGAGCCGCAGAAAAGAUUCUUUCGCAANGGGGGAAACCCUGCGAAGCAUACCGCGUGGGCGAUGAAGUCGAAGUCAUAAAGCCCUUUUCUGAGGGAAGAUUCUGACGGUACCUCAGGAAUAAGCACNGGCUAAUCCGUGCCAGCAGCCGCGGUAUACGGAGGGUGCAAGCGUUACCCGGAAUCAUUGGGCGUAAAGCGUCCGCAGGCGGUUUAUUAAGCCGAAUAUUAAAUCUUGGAGCCCAACUUCAAGGCUGUAUUCGGAACUGGUAAACUAGAGUCUUUCAGAGGUGCGUGGAAUUCUGUGUGUAGGGGUAAAAUCCGUAGAUACACAGAGGAACACCAAAAGCGAAGGCAGCGCACUGGGAAAGUACUGACGCUCAUGGACGAAAGCGUAGGUAGCGAACGGGAUUAGAUACCCCGGUAGUCUACGCCGUAAACGAUGGAUACUAGGUGUUGGAGGACUCGACCCCUUCAGUGCCGAAGCUAACGCAUUAAGUAUCCCGCCUGGGGAGUACGGUCGCAAGAUUAAAACUCAAAGGAAUAGACGGGGACCCACACAAGCGGUGGAGCAUCUGGCUUAAUUCGAUAAUGAGCGAGGAACCUUACCUAGGCUUGACAUCUCGGGAAUUCUUUAGAAAUAGAGAAGUGCCUUCUGGAACCCGAUGACAGGUGCUGCAUGGCUGUCGUCAGCUCGU
rnacentral:rRNA from 1 species